GCGCUAUAAGAUCUGCUAACUCUUUAAUCUGGGACUAACUCCCAGCCCCCUCUACCA
rnacentral:tRNA from 1 species